AGAGUUUGAUCCUGGCUCAGGAUGAACGCUAGCUACAGGCUUAACACAUGCAAGUCGAGGGGCAUCAGUUGGUUUGCUUGCAACCAAAGCUGGCGACCGGCGCACGGGUGAGUAACACGUAUCCAACCUGCCUCAUACUCGGGGAUAGCCUUUCGAAAGAAAGAUUAAUAUCCGAUAGCAUAUAUUUCCCGCAUGGGUCUUAUAUUAAAGAAAUUCGGUAUGAGAUGGGGAUGCGUUCCAUUAGUUUGUUGGCGGGGUAACGGCCCACCAAGACUACGAUGGAUAGGGGUUCUGAGAGGAAGGUCCCCCACAUUGGAACUGAGACACGGUCCAAACUCCUACAGGAGGCAGCA
rnacentral:rRNA from 1 species